UACGUAGGGUGCGAGCGUUGUCCGGAAUUAUUGGGCGUAAAGAGCUCGUAGGCGGUGUGUCACGUCGGCCGUGAAAACCUGCAGCUUAACUGUGGGCGUGCGGUCGAUACGGGCAUCACUGGAGUUCGGCAGGGGAGACUGGAAUUCCUGGUGUAGCGGUGAAAAUGCGCAGAUAUCAGGAGGAACACCGGUGGCGAAGGCGGGUCUCUGGGCCGAUACUGACGCUGAGGAGCGGAAAGCCGUGGGGGAGCAAACAGG
rnacentral:rRNA from 1 species